UACAGGGUGACUCAAUGGGAUCCAUCUCUCAGUAAUUAUUUAAAAGAAUUGGAAAAGUCAAAACCGGUAAUUUUGACUGGUGAUCUAAAUUGUGCUCAUGAAGAGAUAGACAUAUACAACCCUGCCGGUAACAAGAGAAGUGCUGGGUUUACAGAUGAAGAGAGGAAAUCAUUUGCAACAAACUUCUUAUCUAGAGGAUUUGUAGAUACCUUUAGAAGGCAGCACCCUGGUGUUAUUGGAUAUACUUAUUGGGGUUAUCGGCAUGGUGGGCGCAAGAAUAACAGAGGGUGGCGUCUUGAUUAUUUCCUCGUCUCAGAAUCCAUUGCUGACAAAGUUCACGAUUCAUACAUUCUUCCUGAUGUCAAUGGUAGUGAUCAUUGCCCUAUUGGUCUUAUUGUCAAGUUUUAGUUCUAAAAUUAUGUAUUAGCUUGUAGCAAAUGUUGCUAGAAAUUGUAAUAUAUGGGAUAGCCUAUAUAUAUUGCAAGCACGGGUUUUUACCUUUUUGUCUGGUUUUCUUAACUUACAAAAACCUGCAACCCUUGUACAUACUAAAUCUGUGAUUUUGACUAGGCUAACAGAAGUUUGAACAGGGAAUCUACUCUUUUUAUAUCAAUGAAAAGAACAUAUUUGAUUCUGCAACAAAA